UGGGGAAUAUUGGACAAUGGGCGCAAGCCUGAUCCAGCCAUGCCGCGUGAGUGAUGAAGGCCUUAGGGUUGUAAAGCUCUUUCGGCGGGGACGAUAAUGACGGUACCCGCAGAAGAAGCCCCGGCUAACUUCGUGCCAGCAGCCGCGGUAAUACGAAGGGGGCUAGCGUUGCUCGGAAUCACUGGGCGUAAAGGGCGCGUAGGCGGACAUUUAAGUCGGGGGUGAAAGCCCAGGGCUCAACCCUGGAAUUGCCUCCGAUACUGGGUGUCUCGAGACCGGAAGAGGUGAGUGGAACUGCGAGUGUNGCAGGUGAAAUUCGUAGAUAUUCGCAAGAACACCAGUGGCGAAGGCGGCUCACUGGUCCGGUUCUGACGCUGAGGCGCGAAAAGCGUGGGGAGCAAACAGGAUUAGAUACCCUGGUAGUCCACGCCGUAAACGAUGGAUGCUAGCCGUUGGCAGGCUUGCCUGUCAGUGGCGCAGCUAACGCUUUAAGCAUCCCGCCUGGGGGGUACGGCCGCAAGUUAAAACUUAAAGGAAUUGACGGGGUCAUAGCUGUUUCCU
rnacentral:rRNA from 1 species